rnacentral:rRNA from 1 species
ACGCUGGCGGCGUGCCUAAUACAUGCAAGUCGAACGCACAGCGAAAGGUGCUUGCACCUUUCAAGUGAGUGGCGAACGGGUGAGUAACACGUGGACAACCUGCCUCAAGGCUGGGGAUAACAUUUGGAAACAGAUGCUAAUACCGAAUAAAACUUAGUGUCGCAUGACACAAAGUUAAAAGGCGCUUCGGCGUCACCUAGAGAUGGAUCCGCGGUGCAUUAGUUAGUUGGUGGGGUAAAGGCCUACCAAGACAAUGAUGCAUAGCCGAGUUGAGAGACUGAUCGGCCACAUUGGGACUGAGACACGGCCCAAACUCCUACGGGAGGCUGCAGUAGGGAAUCUUCCACAAUGGGCGAAAGCCUGAUGGAGCAACGCCGCGUGUGUGAUGAAGGCUUUCGGGUCGUAAAGCACUGUUGUAUGGGAAGAACAGCUAGAAUAGGAAAUGAUUUUAGUUUGACGGUACCAUACCAGAAAGGGACGGCUAAAUACGUGCCAGCAGCCGCGGUAAUACGUAUGUCCCGAGCGUUAUCCGGAUUUAUUGGGCGUAAAGCGAGCGCAGACGGUUUAUUAAGUCUGAUGUGAAAGCCCGGAGCUCAACUCCGGAAUGGCAUUGGAAACUGGUUAACUUGAGUGCAGUAGAGGUAAGUGGAACUCCAUGUGUAGCGGUGGAAUGCGUAGAUAUAUGGAAGAACACCAGUGGCGAAGGCGGCUUACUGGACUGCAACUGACGUUGAGGCUCGAAAUCGUGGGUAGCAAAC